UUUAUAUGCAUACGUGAAAAAAUAAAUGAGAAUCUCCAAGCGUUCCAAACUGGUAUCUAAGAAUGGAUUUUGUCACCUCAAGUCCUGUCUGAUGUGCUGAAGUUCAAUUUUUUGUCUCUCCAGCACUACCAAACUGCUGAAAUCUUUAGGCCACUGAUUUAUGCUUCACCUUUAUACUCCUGGCUUUCUCUCUCCAGGUCCUCAGCCUAGGACCUGACUGAGAGAUAGGCCAGUCUGCUCUCAGACUGAUGGUCUGUGGCCUGCCAGCACCAUAGACAAGACUUCAGGGAAGCUGCUUAUCAGCCAAAUAACUGCAGAGGCUCCUUGGAUUCCAAGAACCUCUAAGGAGUAUGAGAUGUCUGGAAGCUUUUGGACAAGAUUGCAUAAACCCACCUCACCAUCGUGCUUACACACAGACUACUUCUAAUCCAUACGCACACAUACACACAGUUCACUUACAAUUAAACUCACCUAGCAAGAAGCUAAG
rnacentral:lncRNA from 1 species